GGGGGAUUGAGGGCAGGCCUUGAAAGUGAGAUACACUUCUGCUUAGGUCUCCACACUCUGCCUCCAGCCCACCAUGAUGUGACCAGCUACCUCACACUGCUGCUGCCGUGUCUUCCACAUCAAGAUGUGGAAACUAAGGCCAGGAAAUCAACUCCCCAAGGUCAAACUGCUAGCAAUCACAGUGCGGGAUGUGGAGCUGGAUCCACCUACGGAUGCUCACAUGAGCCUCUCAUCCCCACCUUCAUCCAGGAUGUUGCCUCUACCAAGAACCUGAGCCUCUCACCUGCCUCACCUCACCCCGCUGGUUUCUACACAUCCUGACUCCUGAAGGGAGUCACUUUCUGGACAGCGUAUCCUGGUCACCUCUAUGUUCCUAGAGUGCAUGUGGACACAGGAUGUUAACCCAAGAAUAAUUACAGUGAGGAGGAGGAGGAAGAGGAGGAGGAGGAAGAGGAAGAGGAGGAAGAGGAAGGGGAGGAAGAGGAAGGGGAGGAAGAGGAAGGAGAGAAGGAA